UACGUAGGUGGCAAGCGUUGUCCGGAAUUAUUGGGCGUAAAGCGCGCGCAGGCGGAUCCAUAAGUUUAUCGUUUAAGGCGUCGGCUUAACCGGCGUAGGGCGGUAGAUACUGUGGAUCUGGAAUGCGGUUGGGGAAGACAGAAUUCCUGGUGUAGCGGUGGAAUGCGCAGAGAUCAGGAGGAAUACCGAAGGCGAAGGCAGUCUUCCAAGCCGUUAUUGACGCUCAACUGCGAAGGUGUGGGUAUCAAACAGG
rnacentral:rRNA from 1 species